AGCGUAGGCGGAUUUUUAAGUGAGAUGUGAAAUACCCGGGCUUAACUUGGGUGCUGCAUUUCAAACUGGAAGUCUAGAGUGCAGGAGAGGAGAAGGGAAUUCCUAGUGUAGCGGUGAAAUGCGUAGAGAUUAGGAAGAACACCAGUGGCGAAGGCGCUUCUCUGGACUGUAACUGACGCUGAGGCUCGAAAGCGUGGGGAGCAAACA
rnacentral:rRNA from 1 species